GAGACAACUUGCAAUUUUAUGUCUCACAUUUGUAACUAUACAUUGUGUCUGAAUGUUUGUGCAUAAUAAUUGUUAAUUAUAAAAUCCAGAACAAUUUGAAUAAUUUAUUGGCCAAUUUACAAAUGAACCAAAGUGUCGAAUACUGAUGCAAGGAGAACUUUAAACCGGAAAUGCUAAACUUUCGUGACGCCUAGUGCAUGUACCGAAUUUCUUUGCUAACUGACUAGCACCAGCAACGAGCAGCUGAUUGUUAUCGAUAGUUACAAUAUGUCUGUUGUCGACAAAAUUUGUCAUUAUCAGCGAAAUUUACAGAAAUGCAGUGAUAACAAAGAUCGAAUAUUGCAUUGCAUUUCAAAAUUGUAUAAUCUGCCUGUGACAGUGCAACAUCUUCAAGAAACAGGAGUAGGAAGGACUGUGAAUAGUUUUAGGAAAUAUGAUGGUACUGUGGGUGAUGCUGCUAAGGCUUUAGUUUUUAAAUGGAAGGUAAUGGUAGCGGAUGAAGAAACCAGCGAAGAUGAGGAUGAAAUUUGUGUACCUGAUGUUCAUGAAAAUCAUACCGAGAGCCAGGAAUCAAAGGUAGAGGAUGUGAAAGAAUAUAGUUCUUCUUCAUUGGAACAGUCAUCAGAAUCAAAACAUAGGCAUAAAUAUAAAGAAAUCAAGAGUGAAUCGUCUACAAAACAGAAUGCAACGCAACUGUCAAAGUCUAAAUCAGAAGAAAAGCAUGAAAAGAAACAUUCCUCCAAACAUUAUGCGCAGAAUGAAAGGAAGUCGAGUGAAAAGAGCAGUAAAAGCAGUGUGAAAAAGGAAGAAGGUCACAGCUCAACAAAGCAUAAUUCUAGUAGAAAUGAUGAUAUGAAAAAAAAUAGUGACAAGAUGACCGAGGUUAAUGAAAACAAUAGCAGAAAGAGAAAAUUAGACAAUUCAAGUUCCUCAAUGAAAGAAAGCAAGAAAAGAAAGUUGUCAGAGAGCAAAAGCGAUGAUGAGAAGUCUCAGUUAUCUGUGUCGGAAAAGAAUCAUUCUCGUUCGAAAUCUUCGGGAAUUCAGAUCGAAGUGAAGAUUAAAGUAAAAGAUGAUCAAGCUUUAUCGAGUGAUAAAAACAAACAAGAUAAACUGGAGAAGUAUUCGCAGGAGAGAUCCAAGAGCAGUUCCAGCAAGCCUAAGUCGAUAGAAUCGAGCAGUAAAGAAAAGGACAGCGGUGAAAGACAAAAACAUAAGAAAGAAGAAUAUGUGAGUCAUAAGAAACAUGAUGCAAAAAAGGAUUCCAGUCAUCACUCUAACAAGGAGACUUCCAAAUCAAAAGUUAGUUCCUCUAGUGAUAAAGAUCAUCUUAAGAGUAAAAACAAAGAUAAGAAAAAAGAGCAGAAAGAGGAGAAGAAACAAGAGAAAAAGAAAGAGACGAAGGUUAAAUUGAUGCAGGAAAUAAACGGUGACGAAGGAAUCGACUGUAAUUCUGGUACAAGCUUUGCAGAGGCGCUCGGUAUGUGCACCAUGCCUCAGCCGUCGAAAAAACGUCAUGUUAAUUCGUCCAGCACAAGUUUGAAUAAAUCCAUUAAAACGGAAUGUAUGUCGCCUCCGAUUAAUAGCAACAAAAAGACGCCAGCAGCGUGCACAGUGCAAGUUGAGACAGAAUGCAGCAGCAACGUUUCCAAUCCGCCGUCUCUUCUGGCACCGAAUGUGAAGCUAGAACCCUUGAGCGUGGAUUUGGCGUCCACAUUACCUGAAAUCAGUCCCAAUUACAAGCCACUGCCAUACAUUAAUCCUGUUCAUCGUAGAGAAGAAGUCAAACACUUUGAUGAUAUGAUUUAUGUUAAGAAUCAAAGGACAAAAGUAUAUUCUGGUAACAAAGGUGGUUACACAAGCGUGCCGAGUUUGUACGACAUAUGCAUUAGGGUAUUGAUAGAAAAUAUCGAUGCUCUCGAGUAUACCGGCGGUGUACCGUAUGACAUAUUAAAGCCAGUCCUAGAACGAGCCACGGCCGAUCAGUUAUUUAUGUUAGAGCAUUAUAAUUCGUAUCUUGUGGAAGAUACAGACACAUUAUGGCAAUACCAUUGUAAUCGCGAAUUUAGAAAUAAAGGGAGGCAGGAGAUGGAAUCAUGGCGCGAGAUGUACAUGCGCUGCCUGGACGAAAGAGAAGCGAAACUGAAAACGCUCACUGCGAACAUCAAACAAUCCAUAGACAAGUCUGUUCCAGUGAGAUCCACCAAACUUGCAUAUGUGGACAAUAUCGUGAAGCCGCCGCGAAAUAUAAUGAAGAAACAGGCGAAGUAUGGCACAGCCAAUGCCACGCCUAGUACUAUCUCCAGUGUAAAGAAAAAGUUAGCCGCCGGUGGUGCAGUUAAUAAUGCAACAAAUAUUGCUGUACCGCCACCACCGAUGGUUCGGUUUAAAGCAUCAACGUCAAACAGCAUGAAGAAGACAAAAGCACCGCUUAUGGCAAAGGCGUUGCAGUUAAUAAAGGGACGUUACAAACGGUAGUUCUACAAAUAGUACGAAACGUUGACUACCAAUCUCAACAAAUAGUUAAAUCCAUACAUUUAUCAUCACCUCAUACUUACAACAUUACGGUUUUAACGCGACAAUAGAUUUCCACGCAUUCUUGCGUAACACAUCGUCUUUCGGUUAAAACUUGUGUUCAGCAGAUCACGUAUAUGCAGCAGUUUUUAAUACAAAUAAAAUAAUUAUAAGCGACAUUAAGUAUAUGUAAUUAUUCAGCUCUACAGAGAAACUUGUUAUAGUAUCUAGCAAAAACACCAUAAUUUCGAACAGUCGUGACGAACUUGUUUAGAAGACUGUUAGAUCUAUCAAAGCCACGAUUUCGGGUCCCAAACAUGAGAAAAGACGAAGAUAACGAAAGGUUUAGAUUAAUUUAUUAUUUCUGUAGUAAGUAUAGAAAUUAUAUCAAUUGCUCGAAGUUGUCAGCUAAAAGUCCUGACAUUAAUAAAUUUUUUUUUUUUUACGAGAACGCAUUUUAAAUGUUUGUGUACCUAUAUUUAUUAAUUGUUUCAAACAGAUAAAAUUUUAGAACAGUUAUUUUUGUAGAUGAACUCUGGGGCUAUAUACUUCCCAAUCUUUAAUUCUUGGAUUUUUUUUUAAUUAUACAUACAAAUUUUCUUGAGAUUGUGUUUUAGCAACUCGUCAAAUAUCAAUUUCGGUGAAACACGGAAGUGUAUUCCGUGUUUUGAUCAGUACUGUGAUUUUCUCGAUAUUUUUUAAAUGCAGUCUUAAUGCGCGCGCAUACAUUUUGUAAAUAUUAUAUAAUGGCAAGAGUAGA